UCGCUACUACCGAUUGAAUGUCUUAGUGAGUUAUUUGGACAUGGUUUAAAGUUAGAAGUAACUUUGAAUUGUAAAAGAAUUGCAAACUGAGGCAUUUAGAGGAAGUAA
rnacentral:rRNA from 1 species